CGCCUCCGAGGUCGGAUCCUCCGACGGCCCUCCGGCAUCCACCUCCCCCAGCCAUCGUUGCGUGUGUCGAUGCAGCGCCUCCCGCCUGCAGAGCGGGCCAAACCAGACGGUCAGAGAGGCGCACCUCGGAUCUCAGGAAGGGAGAGGACAGCAAGGGCAGCAGGUUCGGCAGCUGCCACCUGCUGAUGCACACAUGCUGCUGCUGUUAUCUAGGGGGCCAGGCCGGGGUGCAGUGCCCAUCAGGACCCAUCUGUGAAGGCGCCCCAAGGAUAGGACCACAGGGGGGAAGGCUCACGGGGAGAUCAGAUCGACUGGGGGUUAAAAAGACAAAAAAGAAGCCGCUCCAUUAACACAAAUCACCUCACGCGUCGCAGUCGAGUCGCCCAACAUCACCCGUCGCCAAACGCCUCUCCACUCUCACCACAGCUCCCGACCCACGACUCACGUGGCCCUUGAUGCCUCGAACGCUUGUCGCUGCGGGAUGCCGUUCUUGCUCCACAGGAUCUGCCAGACGCCCGUCCCACCUCCGCUCGUCGACGCGGCGCCCUGGCCGUCGCGAGCUUCGCCAUCAUCCUUGCAACCAUCACCACCACCACCACCACCACCAUAGGGGCCCGCAGCACCCAUCAGGUCACUGAAGGCAGGAGCCUCGGGGGUCGGCGGUGCACCACAACAAAAGAACAAGCCACGCCUCUGCAACGAACAGGUGUGGCGGCGGCGGCGACGGCGGCUGCUGGGUCGCGCGCACGCCCUACUAUUACCUUAACAUUGCACGCGGCUGGUAUUGUCGCGGUUGGAGCCGAUCACCAAACCUGUGACCUGUGCUAAUGCGUCGCGAGAACGCGCGGGCUGCAUGCUCAGUUGCUGGACUUGACCAACCUGGGCGCAAUGCAAUAGCCUUUGCUGCACAAAGCUGGUUGGGAAAUGUGAAGUGUUUGGAUGCUGUCCAAAGCUUCCUAGCUGCGAGUGGUCUGCGAAUGCCACUCUGAUCGAGAUUACGAAGCUAACCCAGCCCGGUAGCCAGCGCAGCCGCAACGGUAUCGACCCAAACCGGAUCAGGCUAUCGUUGCUCAAACCACCACUACCAGAGUAAUGGUUCCAUUGUUCCUACCUUGCCCAUGACGUCAGCUUUCACGGUGCUGAUGCCCACGAACUCCUCUUGCCGUACCCGGGCCUUUACCUCCACGAAGUCCAGGUACUCAGGCGUCACAAGCAGACUGCCAGGUACCUGCUCAACAGCAGAAAGAUGCAGGUGCCACGAUAGGUCGCAAUUGUUACAAAAAAAACAGGAGUACAAAGCAAAAAGCGCGAGGAGGUACUGGAUUGUGAGUCGCACGGCCACGAACGCAGUCUCCGCGAUGUCGCCAGCACGUCGCUGGCCACGUUCCCGUGCUGAUGGGUGUGCAUGCUCCUAGGGCCAUUGUAUAGCAGUAGGUAACGGCGCCAAUAGGUCGCCGGGGAGGUGGAGGUUGCAUGCAUGCAUGGUCGACGCUUGAACCACUGACGGGUGGCUUGC
rnacentral:lncRNA from 1 species